rnacentral:rRNA from 1 species
GACGAACGCUGGCGGCGUGCCUAAUACAUGCAAGUAGAACGCUGAAGAGAGGAGCUUGCUCUUCUUGGAUGAGUUGCGAACGGGUGAGUAACGCGUAGGUAACCUGCCUUGUAGCGGGGGAUAACUAUUGGAAACGAUAGCUAAUACCGCAUAACAAUGGAUGACACAUGUCAUUUAUUUGAAAGGGGCAAUUGCUCCACUACAAGAUGGACCUGCGUUGUAUUAGCUAGUAGGUGAGGUAACGGCUCACCUAGGCGACGAUACAUAGCCGACCUGAGAGGGUGAUCGGCCACACUGGGACUGAGACACGGCCCAGACUCCUACGGGAGGCAGCAGUAGGGAAUCUUCGGCAAUGGGGGCAACCCUGACCGAGCAACGCCGCGUGAGUGAAGAAGGUUUUCGGAUCGUAAAGCUCUGUUGUAAGUCAAGAACGAGUGUGAGAGUGGAAAGUUCACACUGUGACGGUAGCUUACCAGAAAGGGACGGCUAACUACGUGCCAGCAGCCGCGGUAAUACGUAGGUCCCGAGCGUUGUCCGGAUUUAUUGGGCGUAAAGCGAGCGCAGGCGGUUUGAUAAGUCUGAAGUUAAAGGCUGUGGCUCAACCAUAGUUCGCUUUGGAAACUGUCAAACUUGAGUGCGGAAGGGGAGAGUGGAAUUCCAUGUGUAGCGGUGAAAUGCGUAGAUAUAUGGAGGAACACCGGUGGCGAAAGCGGCUCUCUGGUCUGUAACUGACGCUGAGGCUCGAAAGCGUGGGGAGCGAACAGGAUUAGAUACCCUGGUAGUCCACGCCGUAAACGAUGAGUGCUAGGUGUUGGAUCCUUUCCGGGAUUCAGUGCCGCAGCUAACGCAUUAAGCACUCCGCCUGGGGAGUACGACCGCAAGGUUGAAACUCAAAGGAAUUGACGGGGGCCCGCACAAGCGGUGGAGCAUGUGGUUUAAUUCGAAGCAACGCGAAGAACCUUACCAGGUCUUGACAUCCCGAUGCUAUUUCUAGAGAUAGAAAGUUACUUCGGUGCAUCGGUGACAGGUGGUGCAUGGUUGUCGUCAGCUCGUGUCGUGAGAUGUUGGGUUAAGUCCCGCAACGAGCGCAACCCCUAUUGUUAGUUGCCAUCAUUCAGUUGGGCACUCUAGCGAGACUGCCGGUAAUAAACCGGAGGAAGGUGGGGAUGACGUCAAAUCAUCAUGCCCCUUAUGACCUGGGCUACACACGUGCUACAAUGGUUGGUACAACGAGUUGCGAGUCGGUGACGGCAAGCUAAUCUCUUAAAGCCAAUCUCAGUUCGGAUUGUAGGCUGCAACUCGCCUACAUGAAGUCGGAAUCGCUAGUAAUCGCGGAUCAGCACGCCGCGGUGAAUACGUUCCCGGGCCU